GUAUAGGAUUGAUUGGGAUACUCAUCAAAUUAUUUUACGAAACCGAGAUGAUUUGCCAAUUUAAUGGCGUGCCACUGACACCGACGCUGUCUAGCGCGGUCACUCUGGGUGGAUUACAAAGAAUUGGAAAAUGCUCAAAUCUUAUAGACAUCGGAGUUUCAUCACAUCUCC
rnacentral:sRNA from 1 species